AACGCAAAUUGCGCCUUCUUUCGGAAGGCAUGUCUGUUUGAGGGCACCAUUUAACAAAUAAUGUGCGCGUCGUUUUUACGAGCGACGUGCGCACGUUGAUGAGCUUUUCCGAAAAAACCAGGUUUUUUUUGGUGGCGCAUAAUGAACAGCGUGGGCUUUUUCUUCGAUUCUCGUGUAGUAAAUUCAAAACAACGCUUGGGUUGAGAAAAAGUGCGUGCCGCGCAAUGGGUGUGGCGAAUUUUACCCCUGCCCCAAUGCCACUCUUUCCCUGCGAAAGAACAUCUUUUAUUCAGGGCCUCAAAUCAGACAAGAGUACCCGCCGAACUUAA
rnacentral:misc_RNA from 1 species